GACGAACGCUGGCGGCGUGCUUAACACAUGCAAGUCGAACGGAAAGGCCCUGCUUUUGUGGGGUGCUCGAGUGGCGAACGGGUGAGUAACACGUGAGUAACCUGCCCUUGACUUUGGGAUAACUUCAGGAAACUGGGGCUAAUACCGGAUAGGAGCUCCUGCUGCAUGGUGGGGGUUGGAAAGUUUCGGCGGUUGGGGAUGGACUCGCGGCUUAUCAGCUUGUUGGUGGGGUAGUGGCUUACCAAGGCUUUGACGGGUAGCCGGCCUGAGAGGGUGACCGGCCACAUUGGGACUGAGAUACGGCCCAGACUCCUACGGGAGGCAGCAGUGGGGAAUAUUGCACAAUGGGCGGAAGCCUGAUGCAGCAACGCCGCGUGCGGGAUGACGGCCUUCGGGUUGUAAACCGCUUUCGCCUGUGACGAAGCGUGAGUGACGGUAAUGGGUAAAGAAGCACCGGCUAACUACGUGCCAGCAGCCGCGGUGAUACGUAGGGUGCGAGCGUUGUCCGGAUUUAUUGGGCGUAAAGGGCUCGUAGGUGGUUGAUCGCGUCGGAAGUGUAAUCUUGGGGCUUAACCCUGAGCGUGCUUUCGAUACGGGUUGACUUGAGGAAGGUAGGGGAGAAUGGAAUUCCUGGUGGAGCGGUGGAAUGCGCAGAUAUCAGGAGGAACACCAGUGGCGAAGGCGGUUCUCUGGGCCUUUCCUGACGCUGAGGAGCGAAAGCGUGGGGAGCGAACAGGCUUAGAUACCCUGGUAGUCCACGCUGUAAACGGUGGGUACUAGGUGUGGGGUCCAUUCCACGGGUUCCGUGCCGUAGCUAACGCUUUAAGUACCCCGCCUGGGGAGUACGGCCGCAAGGCUAAAACUCAAAGGAAUUGACGGGGCCCCGCACAAGCGGCGGAGCAUGCGGAUUAAUUCGAUGCAACGCGUAGAACCUUACCUGGGUUUGACAUGGGUCGGGAGUGCUCAGAGAUGGGUGUGCCUCUUUUGGGGUCGGUUCACAGGUGGUGCAUGGCUGUCGUCGGCUCGUGUCGUGAGAUGUUGGGUUAAGUCCCGCAACGAGCGCAACCCUUGUUCACUGUUGCCAGCACGUUAUGGUGGGGACUCAGUGGAGACCGCCGGGGUCAACUCGGAGGAAGGUGGGGAUGACGUCAAGUCAUCAUGCCCCUUAUGUCCAGGGCUUCACGCAUGCGACAAUGGCUGGUACAGAGAGUGGCGAGCCUGUGAGGGUGAGCGAAUCUCGGAAAGCCGGUCUCAGUUCGGAUUGGGGUCUGCAACUCGACCUCAUGAAGUCGGAGUCGCUAGUAAUCGCAGAUCAGCAACGCUGCGGUGAAUACGUUCCCGGG
rnacentral:rRNA from 1 species